UAAUGGUUGCUGUUCAGUAAUGUGAUGGGGGAUAGAAUACAUCUUCAUCAAUCAAAUGACCAGAUGGAAGCGAUAUCGUUACAUUAUACAUAAAGGUAUUUCCCCGAUAGGACCCCCGGUGCUGUAAUGACGUCACUAUUUAGCUCAGGUCGACGAGCGGCCCUGAUGACGCGUCCAUGAUGGCCGCCAGGCCCCUGAGCUGUAACUUCUGCUGCCCGACUGUUCGUGACGAUGGAGACCUGAUGGAAGAAAGGAGACUGACUGAUGGCGUUUCUAUCCGUCGUUAAAGAGCUGCACUUCCUUGUGUUGACCACUAGGGGUCGCCCUCCAUCCAUCACAUGGGAUCAUGCUGCUGUGCGGGGAUGACGUGUUUAUGUGCUUAAAAGAUCUAAACUGAAUCAUGCAACACAUGAACAGUGAACUCUAGUCUGCACCUGAAGAAAGGCUCUUUACUUGGUAACAGUAUCGCUCAUUUAAAUCAUUCCUUCUUCUUCUUUAUUGGGUCUCAGACGGUGUUUUUGUAUUUGAAUGAUUGUGUGACUUCAAAGUGUUUGUUUUUCUUUCUGAAUUCUCAGAAAAUGUUGGAGGAGCAGCUGGAGAACAACAAGGUUCAAGACAAGCGGACGGAGGACGAAAUGAACAAAGCUGCUGAAUGAGCAGAGACACUUGAAGGUCUUGGAGGAGACGAGGAGGAUGGAGGAACAUUUGGGCGCAGUUUCCAGACCUGAGGACGGCAGGUUUCUUCUUCUGCUCUGCGGUUACUCUGAGAAGUAACUUUGACAGUUUGGGGGUGGUUCAGCUUUUGUCAAAUGUUUGCUGUGCAGCUGAAUUUUAAUAAAGAAUAAUUUGGUAUAACCCCCUGCGUGUGUCUCAUUGAAAGCCCGGGAGGAGACGGACGUCUCUACUCUACCGGGGCGAUGCACACUGAUGAUCCCACAGCGGUGGGAAUCGAACCCGGGUCUGACGCCACCCAAACCGGGGACAGCGCAACCACGCCACCAUGUCAUUCGCCCUUAAUCAUGUUUGUUUGUUGCCUUUGACUUCUUCAUGUGACGAACAACCUCAAAA